rnacentral:rRNA from 1 species
CCCUAGUAGCGGCGAGCGUAGCGGGAAGAGCUCAAAUUUGUAAUCUGGCACCUUCGGUGUCCGAGUUGUAAUCUCUAGAAGUGUUUUCCGCGUUGGACCGCACACAAGUCUGUUGGAAUACAGCGGCAUAGUGGUGAUACCCCAUUACACGGUGCGGACGCCCAGCGCUUUGUGAUACACUUUCGACGAGUCGAGUUGUUUGGGAAUGCAGCUCAAAUUGGGUGGUAAAUUCCAUCUAAAGCUAAAUAUUGGCGAGAGACCGAUAGCGAACAAGUACCGUGAGGGAAAGAUGAAAAGCACUUUGGAAAGAGAGUUAAAAGUACGUGAAAUUGUUGGAAGGGAAACGCUUGAAGUCAGACUUGCUUGCCGGGCUUGCUCGGUUUGCAGGCCAGCAUCAGUUUUCCGGGGCGGAUAAUGGCAGUUAGAAUGUAGCAGUCUCGGCUGUGUUAUAGCUUUCUGCUGGAUACGUCCUGGGGGACUGAGGAACGCAGCGUGCCGUAUGGCGAGGGCUUCGGUCCUUUCACGCUUAGGAUGCUGG